CCCACACCCUGCUGGGUUUGUUCACCACAGUCAGCUUCCCUUUCACCACAGCUGGCCUAGCAGAAAGCAGUAAAGGCUGAGCCAGCUGAGUGUGUCCAGAGGGUUCAGAGGGCCUGUGGGAGACAAGAUUCCCGACCUCAGAGCUUGACAUCAUAGGCAAGUCCUCUCAACAGAGACAGGAGGGGAAGACCUCCUGCUCUAUUACCCAGGAGAGCAGCAUCCUGAAAAGGAAGAUGCUUAGUCCUGUUCUCAUUGACUCUUGGGGCCCCAGCCUCCUCUGCUGUGUUACCCUCUGUCUACUGGGAACGAGUUCAGCAGAUACAGGGGUCAUCCAGUCCCCCAGACAUAUAAUCAAAGCUAAGGGAGGAAGGUCCAUUCUGAAAUGUUAUCCCAUCUCUGGACACACCAGUGUGUUCUGGUACCAGCAGGCUGUGGGGCAGGGGCCUGAAUUCCUCAUUCAGCAUUAUGAAACGACGGAGCAAAACAAAGGAAACAUCCCUCACCGAUUCUCAGUUCAGCAGUUUAGUGACUAUCACUCCGAGAUGAACAUGACUGCCUUGCAGCUGGGAGACUCGGCUGUGUAUCUUUGUGCCAGCAGCUUAGCACAGCCUUGCAGAAUUACUGGCUCUCUGUACCCAAACCUGCCUGUCCCAGCUCUGACAAUAUAGUA